AUUGAACGCUGGCGGCAGGCCUAACACAUGCAAGUCGAGCGGAGCGGCGGACGGGUGAGUAAUGCCUAGGAAUCUGCCUGGUCGUGGGGGAUAAGGUCAGGAAAGGGGCGCUAAUCCCGCAUACUAUCAGAUGAGCCUAGGUCGAGUUAGCUCGUUGGUGGGGUAAAGGCCUACCAAGGCGACGAUCCGGAACUGGUCUGAGAGGAUGAUCAGUCACACUGGAACGGAGACACGGUCCAGACUCCUACGGGAGGCAGCAGUGGGAAAUAUUGGACAAUGGGCGAAAGCCUGAUCCAGCCAUGCCGCGUGUGUGAAGAAGGUCUUCGGAUUGUAAAGCACUUUAAGUUGGGAGGCGGUACCAACAGAAUAAGCACCGGCUAACUGCGUGCCAGCCGCCGCGGUAAUUC
rnacentral:rRNA from 1 species